rnacentral:rRNA from 1 species
AGAGUUUGAUCAUGGCUCAGAACGAACGCUGGCGGCAGGCCUAACACAUGCAAGUCGAACGCACCUUUCGGGGUGGNGGCAGACGGGUGAGUAACACGUGGGAACGUGCCUUUCGGUUCGGGAUAACCCAGGGAAACUUGGGCUAAUACCGGAUACGCCCUUUGGGGGAAAGAUUUAUUGCCGAAAGAUCGGCCCGCGUCUGAUUAGCUAGUUGGUGGGGUAAUGGCCUACCAAGGCGACGAUCAGUAGCUGGUCUGAGAGGAUGAUCAGCCACACUGGGACUGAGACACGGCCCAGACUCCUACGGGAGGCAGCAGUGGGGAAUAUUGGACAAUGGGCGCAAGCCUGAUCCAGCCAUGCCGCGUGAGUGAUGAAGGCCCUAGGGUUGUAAAGCUCUUUCGGCGGGGACGAUAAUGACGGUACCCGCAGAAGAAGCCCCGGCUAACUUCGUGCCAGCAGCCGCGGUAAUACGAAGGGGGCUAGCGUUGUUCGGAAUCACUGGGCGUAAAGGGCGCGUAGGCGGCCAUUCAAGUCGGGGGUGAAAGCCUGUGGCUCAACCACAGAAUUGCCUUCGAUACUGUUUGGCUUGAGACCGGAAGAGGUAAGUGGAACUGCGAGUGUAGAGGUGAAAUUCGUAGAUAUUCGCAAGAACACCAGUGCGAAGGCGGCUUACUGGUCCGGUUCUGACGCUGAGGCGCGAAAGCGUGGGGAGCAAACAGGAUUAGAUACCCUAGUAGUCC